GGGGGCAGGACUGCGCCGGAGCUUGCUUCCUGCCAGGCACCGUUCCAGGCACUGCAUUCUCUCCUGCGUCCCUUCAUCUUUAGGUCCUCAAACAGUCACUGGGCGCCGAGUGUUGCAUCCACACGCACCAUGCAGAGCAAGUAAAGAACAGGAGUGAAGUAUGGAAAAUGCCAAGAAGAGCCCAGGCACGUGUUAGGUCUGAUACGUGGUGACUGCGCUAUUCGUGGCCGGUGUCCUGUGACUAGCUGCCAGGAGACUGUGUCCAGGCUGGCUUGCUGGAAGGAGCCAAGAGACCUGUGGAGAACAGCCAGGGCUUCCCAGACCAGCCCACAGCCAAGAUCAGCAGAGCCACCUACCCAACCUGCCCCGUAGCACAGACAACAGAAGAAUCACCCAGCCAACCUGUGGAUUGGCCCGGCUCACUACAGGUGCCCUGGGACAGUCAUGGAACAAGAACUGGAAAAGGAGAUGCAACCUGGGAAGGACUGAGACUCUACCUUCCUCUGCUGAGCCCAGCUCUGGUUCCCAUGGUAACCACCAUGGCGGGUCAGCCCAGCUCCCAAGCCCCAGCAUGGCCUGGCCUGACUCGCUGCACAUGACAGACAGGCUGACGGGCUUCCCUGGCAGCUCAGGAGCAGACGACGGGGGCUCUGUGUGUCCAAUCUGAGUGUCCCACUGAUGGAGAAAUACAUCAUCUGUCCCCUGCAGAUGAGCAGCCCGGCACAGACCCGGGAUAAGGCUCCAUGUCUUGCAACAGGGUGAGCUGGGAAGUUGCUGAGCAUUUGUCAGGAACCAGAAAGAAUGUGUUAUGGGGGCCACAACCACAAGCCAGACCCGGGUUCCCAACCCCUGGG